rnacentral:rRNA from 1 species
UACGUAGGCAGCGAGCGUUGUUCGGAAUUACUGGGCGUAAAGAGUGUGUAGGCGGUGCUCUAAGUUCGGUGUGAAAUCUCCUGGCUCAACUGGGAGGGUGCGCCGGAAACUGGAGUGCUUGAGCGUGGGAGAGGAAAGCGGAAUUCCUGGUGUAGCGGUGAAAUGCGUAGAUAUCAAGUGGAACACCAGUGGCGAAGGCGAGUCUCUGGACAUUUCCUGACGCUGAGGCACGAAAGCCAGGGGAGCAAACGGG